rnacentral:rRNA from 1 species
AUUGAACGCUGGCGGCAGGCCUAACACAUGCAUGUCGAGCGGAGCGGCGGACGGGUAAGUAAUGCCUAGGAAUCUGCCUGGUAGUUGGGGAUAACUUCCGACUACGGGCGCUAAUUGAGCAUACUAUCAGAUGAGCUUAGGUCGGAUUAGCUAGUGGGUUGGGUAAAGGCCUACCAAGGUGACGAUCCGUAACUGGUCUGAGAGGAUGAUCAGUCGCACUGUAACUAGGACACGGUCCAGACUCCGACGGGAGGCAGAAGGGGGGAAUAGUGGACAAUGGGCGAAAGCCUGAUCCAGCCAUGCCGCGUGUGUGAAGAAGGUCUUCGGAUUGUAAAGCACUUUAAGUUGGGAGGCGUUACCAACAGAAUAAGCACCGGCUAACUUCGUGCCAGCAGCCGCGGUAAUAC